rnacentral:rRNA from 1 species
UACGAAGGGUGCAAGCGUUAAUCGGAAUUACUGGGCGUAAAGCGUGCGCAGGCGGUUCGUUAAGUCAGCUGUGAAAGCCCCGGGCUCAACCUGGGAAUUGCAGUGGAUACUGGCAGGCUGGAGUACGGUAGAGGAAGGUGGAAUUCCCGGUGUAGCAGUGAAAUGCGUAGAGAUCGGGAGGAACACCAGUGGCGAAGGCGGCCUUCUGGACCAGUACUGACGCUCAUGCACGAAAGCGUGGGGAGCAAACAGG